CGGCCAUGGCCAAUUGCAUAUAUU
rnacentral:miRNA from 14 species